rnacentral:snRNA from 1 species
GUGCCCCCUUCAGCAGCACAUACACUAAAGCUGGCAGGGUACACAGAGAUUAGCAUGGUCCCUAUGUAGGAUGACACCAAAUUCAUGAAGCAUUCCAAGUUUUU